rnacentral:rRNA from 1 species
UACGUAGGUGGCAAGCGUUGUCCGGAAUCAUUGGGCGUAAAGCGCGCGUAGGCGGCCCGGUAAGUCCGCUGUGAAAGUCAAAGGCUCAACCUUUGAAUGCCGGUGGAUACUGUCGGGCUAGAGUCCGGAAGAGGCGAGUGGAAUUCCUGGUGUAGCGGUGGAAUGCGCAGAUAUCAGGAGGAACACCAAUAGCGAAGGCAGCUCGCUGGGACGGUACUGACGCUAAGGCGCGAAAGCGUGGGGAGCGAACAGG